UCGUCGCCUUCAACCAUACGCACUUGGAAGCAGUGACAUGUUUAUUUCACCCUCCGAGGUGUCUUGGUCUUUAUAGAAGGUAUCCGUGAUCAGAUUCACUUUCUGUUGGUUGAUGUAUGUGCUCAUGGUCACUAUAAAUUUGAGUCGGCUCCAGGAUGAUAACAUUACGGCCUUCGCCUUCCACUGGAAUGCCUCCAGACACCGUCGACGGCGCAAAAGAAAUGGCAUGAACUGUGCACGCUAUACGACAGAACGACUGAGUUCCUCUGGCAGCGGAUGCUCAGCGCCUAACGAGGCAUCAUUCCGGAGUCGCUGCAGCCAAGCGACGAUGUGUUGGUGAAAUUGUAUGAAGAUCUCCGCGGACAGAAAGUAUCAGCCCUGUUACGAACCUAGAAAAAUUUCGCGCUGAAUUUCAAGCAAGAUCCAACAAGUGAAGCGACACCACCUGUGCCUUAAAUUCUAGCUACAAACCGGAGUCCUAGUAUACUGUUAAAAAUGUGACAACUCAACGGUGAAAAUGCUGGUCAGUGACAACUUUAUUAUUUGGACAAAAGACAAUCACUGCGCGGUAUGUACCGCAGAAAUUUUGGA